rnacentral:rRNA from 1 species
AAAAAAGGUAAGCUACUAAGAGCGAAUGGUGGAUGCCUUGACUGGUAAAGGCGAUGAAGGACGUACUAGACUGCGAUAAGCUACGGGGAGCUGUCAAGAAGCUUUGAUCCGUAGAUUUCCGAAUGGGGCAACCCAAUGUAUAGAGAUAUACAUUACCUAUAUAGGAGCGAACGAGGGGAAUUGAAACAUCUUAGUACCCUCAGGAAAAGAAAUCAAUAGAGAUUGCGUCAGUAGCGGCGAGCGAAAGCGCAAGAGGGCAAACCCAGUGCUUGCACUGGGGGUUGUAGGACUGCAAUGUGCAAGAGGUAAGUUUAGCAGAACAUUCUGGAAAGUAUAACCAUAGAGGGUGAUAGUCCCGUAUGCGAAAAACAAACCUUAGCUAGCAGUAUCCUGAGUAGGGCGGGACACGAGGAAUCCUGUCUGAAUCCGGGUCGACCACGAUCCAACCCUAAAUACUAAUACCAGAUCGAUAGUGCACAAGUACCGUGAGGGAAAGGUGAAAAGAACUGAGGUGAUCAGAGUGAAAUAGAACCUGAAACCAUUUGCUUACAAUCAUUCAGAGCCCUAUGUAGCAAUACAGGGUGAUGGACUGCCUUUUGCAUAAUGAGCCUGCGAGUUGUGGUGUCUGGCAAGGUUAAGCAAACGCGAAGCCGUAGCGAAAGCGAGUCUGAAUAGGGCGCUUAGUCAGAUGCUGCAGACCCGAAACGAAGUGAUCUAUCCAUGAGCAAGUUGAAGCUAGUGUAAGAACUAGUGGAGGACUGAACCCAUAGGCGUUGAAAAGCCCCGGGAUGACUUGUGGAUAGGGGUGAAAGGCCAAUCAAACUUCGUGAUAGCUGGUUCUCUCCGAAAUAUAUUUAGGUAUAGCGUUGUGUCGUAAUAUAAGGGGGUAGAGCACUGAAUGGGCUAGGGCAUACACCAAUGUACCAAACCCUAUCAAACUCCGA